GAAUUAGAGACCGGCGCACGGGUGCGUAACGCGUAUGCAAUCUACCUUUCACAGAGGGAUAGCCCAGAGAAAUUUGGAUUAAUACCUCAUAGUAUAGUGAUACCGCAUGGUACUACUAUUAAAGUCACAACGGUGAAAGAUGAGCAUGCGUCCCAUUAGCUUGUUGGUAAGGUAACGGCUUACCAAGGCUACGAUGGGUAGGGGUCCUGAGAGGGAGAUCCCCCACACUGGUACUGAGACACGGACCAGACUCCUACGGGAGGCAGCAGUGAGGAAUAUUGGACAAUGGGCGCAAGCCUGAUCCAGCCGUGCCGCGUGCAGGAUGACGGUCCUAUGGAUUGUAAACUGCUUUUGCACAGGAAGAAACAACUCUACGUGUAGAGUCUUGACGGUACUGUGAGAAUAAGGAUCGGCUAACUCCGUGCCAGCAGCCGCGGUAAUACGGAGGAUCCAAGCGUUAUCCGGAAUCAUUGGGUUUAAAGGGUCCGUAGGCGGUUUGGUAAGUCAGUGGUGAAAGCCCAUCGCUCAACGGUGGAACGGCCAUUGAUACUGCCAGACUUGAAUUAUUAGGAAGUAACUAGAAUAUGUAGUGUAGCGGUGAAAUGCUUAGAGAUUACAUGGAAUACCAAUUGCGAAGGCAGGUUACUACUAAUGGAUUGACGCUGAUGGACGAAAGCGUGGGUAGCGAACAGGAUUAGAUACCCUGGUAGUCCACGCCGUAAACGAUGGAUACUAGCUGUUGGGAGCGAUCUCAGUGGCUAAGCGAAAGUGAUAAGUAUCCCACCUGGGGAGUA
rnacentral:rRNA from 1 species